GAUGAAGAACGCAGCGAAAUGCGAUAAGUAGUGUGAAUUGCAGAAUUCAGUGAAUCAUCGAAUCUUUGAACGCACAUUGCGCCCCUUGGUAUUCCAUGGGGCAUGCCUGUUCGAGCGUCAUUUGUACCUUCAAGCUUUGCUUGGUGUUGGGUGUUUGUCUCGCCUUUGCGUGUAGACUCGCCUUAAAAUAAUUGGCAGCCGGCGUAUUGAUUUCGGAGCGCAGUACGUCUCGCGCUUUGCACUCAUAACGACAGCGUCCAAAAGUACAUUUUACACUCUUGACCUCGGAUCAGGUAGGGAUACCCGCUGAACUUAAGCAUAUCAAUAAGCGGAGGA
rnacentral:misc_RNA from 1 species